AAUAAAUAGUAAAUAUAUUGUUAAAAAUAAACCUGUAAUUUCUUUGUUAAUAAUACUGACAUCUAACAAUCUGGUAACAAUACUGAUAUCUGACAACGUGAUAACAAAAUUUUUUAUUAAAAGUUGCAGUGAAACAUAUAUGCAAUUAAAAAUUAAAGGCUAGAUCUGCGCAAAAAAUACAAUUUUGUAACAAGAUGUCAUGGGAAUUGGAAAGUAAAAAUACAGACAAACACAUUUAGAAAAAUCAUUGCAUCUGUUGAGAUCCGCUUGAUGAUAAAGCGGUCAAUCGUGAAAAUUAGGUCAGCACAUUUUUAGGAGGGAUUUCAGCAAGAGAAAUGAUCCUAAUCUAGAAGAAAUUACCCCUAUACCUAUAUCAGAGAAAUUU
rnacentral:misc_RNA from 1 species